rnacentral:rRNA from 1 species
CUGGCGGCGUGCUUACACAUGCAAGUCGUACGAGAACGCUUCAGCUUGCUGAAGCAAGUAAAGUGGCGCACGGGUGAGUAACGCGUGGGUAAUCUACCCUUGAAUCGGGGAUAACGUUGCGAAAGCGACGCUAAUACCGGAUGACAUCUUGAGAACCUUGGUUUUUUUGAUCAAAGGUGGCCUCUCCAUGGAAGCUACUGUUUGAGGAUGAGCCCGCGUCCCAUUAGCUAGUUGGUAGGGUAACGGCCUACCAAGGCGACGAUGGGUAGCUGGUCUGAGAGGAUGAUCAGC